rnacentral:rRNA from 1 species
GACGAACGCUGGCGGCGUGCUUAACACAUGCAAGUCGAACGGAAAGGCCCUGCUUUGUUGGGGUGCUCGAGUUGCGAACUGGUGAGUAACACGUGGGUAACCUGUCCUUGACUUUGGGAGAACUUCAUGAAACUGGGUCUAAUCCCGGAUAGGAGUUCCUGCUGCAUGGUGGGGGUUGGAAAGUUUCGGCGGUUGGUGGUGGAAUCGCGUCCUAUCAGCUUGUUGGUGGGGUAGUGUCUUACCAAGGCUUUGACGGGUAGCCUGGCUGAGCGGGUCACAGGACACAUUGGGAUUGGAAUACGACACAGCCCAGUACGGGACGGGAGAGUGGAGUAGAGUGCAUAGUGGGAGGAGGCAUGGUGGAGUAAAGCAGCGUGGGGGAAGACGGCAUUGGGGUUGUAAACCGAUUUCGCCUGUCACGAAGCGUGAGUGACGGUAACGGGUGAAGAAGCACCGGCUAACUACGUG